AACGAACGCUGGCGGCAUGCCUAACACAUGCGAGUCGAACGAGACCUUCGGGUCUAGUGGCGCACGGGUGCGUAACGCGUGGGAACCUGCCCUUAGGUUCGGAAUAACUCCCCGAAAGGGGUGCUAAUACCGGAUAAUGUCUCCGGACCAAAGAUUUAUCGCCUUUGGAUGGGCCCGCGUUGGAUUAGCUAGUUGGUAGGGUAAAAGCCUACCAAGGCGACGAUCCAUAGCUGGUCUGAGAGGAUGAUCAGCCACACUGGGACUGAGACACGGCCCAGACGCCGACGGGAGGCAGCAGUGGGGAAUAUUGGACAAUGGGCGAAAGCCUGAUCCAGCAAUGCCGCGUGAGUGAUGAAGGCCUUAGGGUUGUAAAGCUCUUGUACCCGGGAUGAUAAUGACAGUACCGGGAGAAUAAGCGCCGGCUAACUCCGUG
rnacentral:rRNA from 1 species